CAGUCGGAGCGAGGAGGGCCGAGAGCGACGGAGGGGACGGCCGCAGCGGACCCCCGAGGACGUCCCGGGCCGCGGAGCUGCGCCGCGGGGCAAGUCCCGGAGAAGCCGCCUCCUCCACCCUGAGCAGCACUUCAGGCUGCGGCGGCGGCGAGCGGCGUGAGGCUGCAGACCGGACGGCGAGCCUGCCGCGUUCAGAGCUCGCUCUGCCCUCCGGAGCCGGCAAGUAAGGGAGAAGUGUCCAGCCGGGCCAUCCACUUCAGGUAGAUGAAGGUUGGCUCCUCGUCCCCGGGGAGGGAGCCCAAGUGCCUGCGGGAGAGCGCGGUCGCAUGUGUGUGCGUGUGUGCGUGCGCGUGUGUGCGCGUGUGUCUGUCUGUGUGUCUGUGUGUGUACACAGGCGCCGGGUUUAGAUUGCCAAAGCUACUCCAGCUGCAUUCAGGGGCUGAAACUCCCGGAGAAAGGCGAAGGAGAGAGCGAGGGAGCGCGAGGAGGCAGGGAAGGCGGGAGGGAGGGGAGUGGUGAGCGGCGGAGGCAGAGGCAGGCGCUGGGAGAUUAGAGAGCUUUUCUCCGCUCCGUCACACCAGACACCCACAGCCUCAGAGGGGGUUGCUGAGCUGCCUGCAAGAAGUACAUUGUAAAUCUUUAGCGCAACAAGCCCCGCAGUCACCCCUCUUGCCGACUCUAGCCCCACUGCGGCUCCCCAGAGGGACCACUGGAGCCUUUGGCUGUUAACCAGGAGAGCAGAGGAAGAUCCUGCUGGGGAGACGCUGCUGUGUCAGAUUUCACAUCAAGCUCGCCUGAGGUUUGGAGGAUUGUAUGUAAAUUGAAAUAAAUUCUCCAAAGCCUGACUCCCUGUAUUAUACUGUGUGUUAUGUCCAGUGCUACAAUAAUGCCUAGCAAUGAAGCGUUAGAAUCCUGGGGAAGUAAGGACCAAAGAAAGGAGACAUAUUUUCCCACAGGAUACAUUCUAUUUUUAAAUUGGGAAACAGAUUAAAAUAUAAUGCUUAUAGGACCAAAAUAAGAAACAAAAGAACAGCAAAACAGAAACGCUGGGGAAAUGAGCCCCGAUAUCUUUAAACUCACUACAAAGAUGAACAAAUACAUUCCAAGAUUGAUCAGUUUUUCCUUUUCCCCAGCCACAAUUACUUUUACGUAGCUGUCCAGUGUUAUCAUGAAAAUUGUUUACACUUUGUUGGAGCAGUUAUCAAGAAGUGACAGCAAGAAUCACCAAAACAGAUUCAUAGACCAUUGGCUCGCUAAGCAUUCUUCUGAGAUUAUUGGAGUUUCAACUUAUAGUGAGUCUGUGUCAAUGCUGUUAUUUCUCCAAUUCAACGAAUGAGGAAACUGAACCUCAGAGAGAUUAAGCAUCGGGUGCAGUCCUUUAAUUAGUAGAUGGCAGAGUUGGAAUUCAAAACCAAACAGUGCUACUCCAUCACCUGUACACUUAAACAUAAUGCCAUGCUAUUUCCUGCAAGGUUUUUCUAAUCCCUUCCCCCUCACUCUGGACUGAAAUUCUUUUUGCUUUAUUUUUAGAAAGCUAUUUAUAUGUGUUGACUUCAAAUAUGAAAAUCCUAAAUAUGUCUUCUACUAUAAAUAUAAAAUAAAUAUGUAGGAUAUUUCACAUUUAUAUUAAGAGCAUUAAAUAUUAGGCACUAUACAAGAAUGGUCGUAUUUUGUAACAAACAAUGGUCCUGGAAAAAGAAAACAACUUUCCUACAAAAUCACUACACUAGAAGGAUCAGUCACAUUACUCCUUUUAAAAUAGCCUGCUGCUUAAUUGAAUAAAACUUUUUGCUCCACAAGGGUCCAUGGGAAAAAAAAGCAAUGAACCCGAAGGUGACUGCUCAGAGUCAUGAGCAUAUUAAAAUGUGUUUGACCAUUUCCUGAAAUAAAUUGAAUUUCUGCAAUUGAUUUAGUGAGUAACUCGCCUGUAAUCUUCACUAUUGUCACUUUUCUCUUUAGUGCCACCUUGUGGGUCAGCCAGUAACAAAAAAUUUACUACUGGGUUUCGAGGUUUGGGGUUUUUUUCUCUUCUGUGUUAAAGCUAGUUUUAAAAAGUAGUAUGGAAAGCCUCAGACGUGAGGCAAUCUCUUUGUUUUCUCAGACAAGCAACCACUUCACCAGAAUAUAUUUGCCAUAAUUCUUCAAUUGACCAUUCAGGACACCAGAACAAUUUUUCAGAGAUUGGAAAUAUUGGAGUCUACAUAAAAAUCGAUGUUCAUUUACAGGAUAAUCACCAAACUUAUCUUGGAUAACGUAAGUGGCAAGCUCUGACUUCUAAUUUUUUUCAUAAGAAAAAUGUUUUCUUAACCCGGUAUCAUCAUUUGUACCAGAGUGUCCCUUGAGAAUUGGUUCUGGGUGAUUUGAAACACUCCUUAAUCCUAUUUUAGAAACAGCUCCCGUAUCUGACUUAGUCUCUUAGGCAGCUCACUUCUAACAUCACAUUGCAUUUGCACUGAGUUACCUUACUCAGUUUAUUUUAAACUUAUGCUGCAGCUAUGAGGGAAUAAGGAAAAAGUCAGAACAGUAUGUCAAAAUGUCUCUUUUAAUUGAAAAACACAGGAAAUGUGUUGUAUGUUCUCUACCAUUCUCCCUGUAUUAGAGAUGCUAUAAUAAUCUUUUGUAUAGCCAGAAAAAUAGAAUAGUUUCACCUACGCGUGUUGCUUUUAUUGCUAGGGUCUUUUAUGUUAUGGUGGAGAAAUAAAUUUUAAGCUUGCAAUUAGGAAGGCAUUUCAGAACAAGUGGAAAUUAUAUCAUCUGGUCACUUUGAAUGGGGAAUGGACCUCUCCUGACCUUUUAAGAGUUGAAGGUUGUACUAUGUGUUAUUCAAAAAGUAAUUUUCCCUGGAUGUGCAGUAAGGCCUGAGAUCUGACCUAUAACCCAAAUGUCAUAACUAUACAUUAUCUAUACUGGAAACACAUGAACAACAAUAUAAAAUUUUAAGUUUUUUUAUAGGCUUGCUAAAAUCUGAUUAUAGAAAUCAGGGCAGUCAAAUAGUACCAAUAAUGCUGCAAAAACCUUACAGUUUAACUCCCUUAUCAUUUUUAACGUCAGUGAGACUUGUGCUUUGUCUCUGAAAGUAUGUAUAUUUUCCAAUUUUAAAAAUGCAAUUGUUUAUUUGCACAUCCUUUGAUAUUUGAAUCUUUCCCUGUUAUUCUGACAAAGAUUCCAUUUCUCACCAAUUUGGUUCAGGACCAAAUUAAAAGACACUUUAGAAUGAUAAUUUUUAAUCUGUAGUCUUCCAUGUAACCCUUGCAUCAUUGAAUGGUCCUUGUUCUUAGAAUUUAACCCGGGGGUGGGUAGCAUGACAGUACUGAAAGAACUCUCUCUUGCCUGGGGAUCACCAUUUCUCCUUUAAUAGGAAAAUUGUGUCUUUCUUCAGUUAAACUGAAUAAACUUUUUCUGCAGCAUCGGCUAGAAAACUCCUUGGUCACAUGUGCAGUUGUUGCAAGUGUAGGGUCUACAGUUUAUGCAAAUAAGUGAUACUGCCUUUCAACCCACAAACUAAAUCCAAGGGUGAAUUUUAUCCUGUUCUCAUGUUUAUCAUAUUCUUGCUAAAUGUAAAGAUUUUUAAAAGAAGCUCCAAAAAAAUAGAACACAUUUCACCUCUGCUCUGUUACAUAUUCCAAAUUAAGCAGAUUUUAAUUAACUGAGUUACAUUAUAUACCAAGAGCCUUUUCCUUUAAUAUCUAAAGGCUUUUGUGAUCUCUUUUCAGUUCCUCUUAAAGUAAGACUGCACAAAAUAUUUUUUGACAUUUUCUGAGAAUUUCAUUUCCAAUUCCGAAGUAUCAUUUGAUCCUUUCAUCUUCCAAUUCAGGACUGUAAUGAAUAUUGAUUAGUUUUUAGAAGCGCUAACAUUCAAAUAAGCAAACUUAUUAAGCGAUAGCUAGUAAUGUUCUCUUUUGUCUUCUAGACAGAAAAUCAAAGCUGCUUAAAGUAAAAGAGGUAUUUUAAAUCAGUGUAUAUCCACAAGUUAGCAUGAAUGUUUACAAACGCUUUCUGGGAUCAUUGUGUCUUAUUUGGGUAUAUGUGCAUGUCUUUAUUUAUAAAGACAGAGGUCAAAAUAGAUAUGAACAAGGGGUGUAUGAGUUUCUAUACAGUCUGAAUGAAAGUGUUUGACUUGUCAGUGUGCUAACCUACAGUGUAAUAAAACCACAAAUAGCUCCUUGUACCGCUAUUUCAUUUUCAGUGCCUGCGAAGAUGGUCAAAUUAAACAGCUGAUAUGAUAAUCAUCCAAAUAUAUAAUUCUAAUGCUUCAAUUAUGGGAUCAUAUCUUUAUUUCUAUGAGAUUUACCUGUAGUAGUGCUAUAUUUAAUGUUCAGAAUUCUAUAGCAGUUAUCUUUUAAAUGUUUUGAGCACAAGCUAUAUUUUACAGGAUGUGCAAAUAAUCAAGUCUCAGCAACAUUUAUGAAAUACAAGCCAAACUAUGAAUUGAACAGAAUGAGUCCUCAGAUCUGACUGCUUAAAACUCAAAGUGUUAAGGCUCCUGAAACACCUUCUAUGUAUGCAGUAGCUAGUAGAAUGAAAUUGUAUUAACAUAGGAGAAUAAAUUUUUGUCUGGACCUCAGUCUCACAUCACCAGUCUCUGCCUGCUGCUGCCUGCCUGCAAGGGGAGCUUCUGCUAUGCUGAUUCUCACCUCCUGUGUGUUCCCACAGUUUCAGGAGGAAUGAAAGCCUGGUGUCUCACAGUGAACUGACAUCAGUUCAUUUUUUCUAAUAUGCAACAUUCCCCAGUUCUAUCUCAUGAAUCCAAACCAAAGAGACACAAAAUCAGGUAUAAAAGAAAUGAAAAUUUAAGCAAAGAAUCCAAACAAAUAUGAUGAAGAAGCACUUGGAAUUUUUCACUUCUUAGGCCUUUGGGAUCUAGAAAAGUAAACCAUUCUAAAAUAAUCCACCUGCUGUACUUUGUUUGUCUAGAGCUUUUGCCCAAGGAAGUGUUUGCAGAGGUAACAUGCACACUGUCAUGUAAGUGUAUCUAAGUGUAAAGGGAAAGUUACUGGAUCUCAUUUUUUAAAACCAAAAUAUGCAGAAGGUAAUCAUCACAGACAUCGUUGCUUAUUUAUGUAUUACCCCUUCACAGUAAUUAAAAAUUUUACCAAAUUCUCUAUAAA